rnacentral:tRNA from 1 species
GCAUCGGUGGUUCAGUGGUAGAAUUCUCGCCUGCCACGCGGGAGGCCCGGGUUCGGUUCCCGGCCGAUGCA